AUUGAACGCUGGCGGCAGGCCUAACACAUGCAAGUCGGGCGAGCGGCGGACGGGUGAGUAAUGUAUGGGGAUCUGCCUGAUGGAGGGGGAUAACUACUGGAAACUGUAGCUAAUACCGCGUACCAUAGGCUGAGCCCAAGUGGGAUUAGGUAGUUGGUGAGGUAAAGGCUCACCAAGCCGACGAUCUCUAGCUGGUCUGAGAGGAUGCCCAGCCACACUGGGACGGAGACACGGCCCAGACUCCUACGGGAGGCAGCAGUGGGGAAGAUUGCGCAAUGGGGGCAACCCUGACUCAGCCAUGCCGCGUGAAUGAAGAAGGCCUUAGGGUUGUAAAGUACUUUCAGCGGGGAGGCGUUACCCGCAGAAGAAGCACCGGCUAACUCCGUGCCAGCAGCCGCGGUAAUAC
rnacentral:rRNA from 1 species